rnacentral:rRNA from 1 species
AACGAACGCUGGCGGCAUGCCUAACACAUGCAAGUCGAACGAGACCUCCGGGUCUAGUGGCGCACGGGUGCGUAACGCGUGGGAACCUGCCCUUAGGUUCGGAAUAACUCCCCGAAAGGGGUGCUAAUACCGGAUAAUGUCUUCGGACCAAAGAUUUAUCGCCUUUGGAUGGGCCCGCGUUGGAUUAGCUAGUUGGUAGGGUAAAAGCCUACCAAGGCGACGAUCCAUAGCUGGUCUGAGAGGAUGAUCAGCCACACUGGGACUGAGACACGGCCCAGACUCCUACGGGAGGCAGCAGUGGGGAAUAGUGGACAAUGGGCGAAGGCCUGAUGCAGCAAUGCCGCGUGAGUGAUGAAGGCCUUAGGGUUGUAAAGCUCUUUUACCCGAGAUGAUAAUGACAGUACCGGGAGAAUAAGCUCCGGCUAACUCCGUG